rnacentral:rRNA from 1 species
UACGUAGGGCGCAAGCGUUAUCCGGAAUUAUUGGGCGUAAAGAGCUCGUAGGCGGUUUGUCGCGUCUGCCGUGAAAGUCCGGGGCUCAACUCCGGAUCUGCGGUGGGUACGGGCAGACUGGAGUGAUGCAGGGGAGACUGGAAUUCCUGGUGUAGCGGUGAAAUGCGCAGAUAUCAGGAGGAACACCGGUGGCGAAGGCGGUUCUCUGGGCCUGUACUGACGCUGAGGAACGAAAGCGUGGGGAGCGAACAGG